rnacentral:rRNA from 1 species
UUUGUAGGUGGUCUGUUAAGUCAGACGUGAAAUCCCUCAGCUUAACUGGGGAACUGCGUCUGAGACUGAUGGACUUGAGGGCAGGAGAGGAACGCGGAAUUCCAGGUGUAGCGGUGAAAUGCGUAGAUAUCUGGAGGAACACCGGUGGCGAAGGCGGCGUUCUGGACUGUUUCUGACACUGAAAAACGAAAGCCAGGGGAGGCAAACG